CACCUGAUCCCUUCCCGAACUCAGAAGUGAAACCUCUUAGCGCUGAUGGUAGUGUGGGAUUACCCAUGUGAGAGUAAGUCAUCGCCAGCU
rnacentral:rRNA from 2 species